CGCGGGGAAGUGUAACGGUUGCACACGAGGCUCAUAACCUUGAGGUAGCGGGUUCGACUCCCGUCCCCGCAA
rnacentral:tRNA from 1 species